rnacentral:rRNA from 1 species
GAUGAACGCUGGCGGCGUGCCUAAUACAUGCAAGUAGAACGCUGAAGGAGGAGCUUGCUCUUCUGGAUGAGUUGCGAACGGGUGAGUAACGCGUAGGUAACCUGCCUGGUAGCGGGGGAUAACUAUUGGAAACGAUAGCUAAUACCGCAUAACAACAGUUAUUGCAUGAUAUCUGUUUAAAAGGGGCAACUGCUCCACUACCAGAUGGACCUGCGUUGUAUUAGCUAGUUGGUGAGGUAACGGCUCACCAAGGCGACGAUACAUAGCCGACCUGAGAGGGUGAUCGGCCACACUGGGACUGAGACACGGCCCAGACUCCUACGGGAGGCAGCAGUAGGGAAUCUUCGGCAAUGGACGGAAGUCUGACCGAGCAACGCCGCGUGAGUGAAGAAGGUUUUCGGAUCGUAAAGCUCUGUUGUAAGAGAAGAACGAGUGUGAGAGUGGAAAGUUCACACUGUGACGGUAUCUUACCAGAAAGGGACGGCUAACUACGUG